UACGGCCAUACAGCUUUGAAACAGCAGUUCCCGUAUGAUCACCAAAGUUAACCAACGACGAGACUGGGCCCUAUCUAGAUGGGUGACCGCUUGGGAAUAUUAGCUGCUGUAAG